UUGUAAACCAGAAAAGGAGAAUAGCCAAUCUCCCUAAGAC
rnacentral:tRNA from 1 species